AUAUUUUUAUGAUGAGUUCAUAGUUCAACUGAUCUAUACUGAAGACAACUAAUAUUGUCUUUCGCUCCUAUCUGAUUGCAUUC